rnacentral:lncRNA from 1 species
AUGGGAAAGAAGGGGAAAAAAGGGUUAAGAAACUUGGCUGAAGAGCUGAAUGGCGUCGAGCGGCGAGGGGAGGGACUGGGCCGCGGCGGACUCAGCGGCGGAGGGAGGAGCGCGGCUGCGGGCGGGCGGCGAGCGAGGCGCUCAAAGUCAGCCUCGCAGACAUUGCAGCAGAGCCCCGAACUCGGGAGGCGGCGGCGGCGGCGGCGGAGGAGGAGGCGGCGGCCGAGGCGGAGGGACGACCCGGCCCCACGCCCGCCCGCGCGCCCGCACGCCCGCCCGUGGCCUCGCGUCCGCCGCUGCGCUCGGCAGUGCUGCCGGUCGGAGGCAAGAGCUCGCUGGGGCGCCGAGGGAGGACGGGGCGGUGGGGCGCCUUCGCGGAGUGAGCCUGCCGGAGCCCCGGGCUCGGAGCCGCGGCGGCCUCGGAGUGUUUGGAUUGUGAGCAAUUUAAGCUCUAUCCUCAGGAUCCAUUAUUUUAACAUUUGGGAGAAACACAUCCAGAAGAUACACACUAGAUUGAAGGAGGAGUGGGGAAUCUGA